CUUGGCUUAGGUGUCUUGGCUAAGGUGUCUUGGCUAAUGCGUCUUGGCUAAGGUGUCUUGGCUAAGGUGUCUUGGCUAAGGUGUCUUGGCUAAUGUGUCUUGGCUAAUGUGUCUUGGCUAAGGUGUCUUGGCUAAGGUGUCUUGGCUAAGGUGUCUUGGCUAAUGUGUCUUGGCUAAGGUGUCUUGGCUAAUGUGUCUUGGCUAAGGUGUAUUGGCUAAUGUGUCUUGGCUAAUGUGUUUUGGCUAAUGUGUCUUGGCUAAUGUGUCUUGGCUAAGGUGUCUUGGCUAAGGUGUCUUGGCUAAUGCGUCUUGGCUAAGGUGUCUUGGCUAAUGUGUCUUGGCUAAGGUGUCUUGGCUAAGGUGUCUUGGCUAAGGUGUCUUGGCUAAGGUGUCUUGGCUAAUGUGUCUUGGCUAAUGUGUCUUGGCUAAGGUGUCUUGGCUAAGGUGUCUUGGCUAAUGCGUCUUGGCUAAGGUGUCUUGGCUAAGGUGUCUUGGCUAAUGUGUCUUGGCUAAGGUGUCUUGGCUAAUGUGUCUUGGCUAAGGUGUCUCGGCUAAUGUGUCUUGGCUAAGGUGUCUUGGCUUAGGUGUCUUGGCUAAGGUGUCUUGGCUAAGGUGUCUCGGCUAAUGUGUCUUGGCUAAUGUGUCUUGGCUAAUGUGUCUUGGCUAAUGUGUCUUGGCUAAUGUGUCUUGGCUAAGGUGUCUUGGCUAAUGUGUCUUGGCUAAGGUGUCUUGGCUAAGGUGUCUUGGCUAAUGUGUCUUGGCUAAUGUGUUUUGGCUAAUGUGUCUUGGCUAAUGUGUCUUGGCUAAUGUGUCUUGGCUAAUGUGUCUUGGCUAAUGUGUCUUGGCUAAGGUGUCCUGGCUAAUGUGUCUUGGCUAAGGUGUCUUGGCUAAGGUGUCUUGGCUAAUGCGUCUUGGCUAAGGUGUCUUGGCUAAGGUGUCUUGGCUAAGGUGUCUUGGCUAAGGUGUCUUGGCUAAUGUGUCUUGGCUAAUGUGUCUUGGCUAAGGUGUCUUGGCUAAUGCGUCUUGGCUAAGGUGUCUUGGCUUAGGUGUCUUGGCUAAGGUGUCUUGGCUAAGGUGUCUCGGCUAAGGUGUCUUGGCUAAUGUGUCUUGGCUAAUGUGUCUUGGCUAAGGUGUCUUGGCUAAUGUGUCUUGGCUAAUGUGUCUUGGCUAAUGUGUCUUGGCUAAUGUGUCUUGGCUAAUGUGUCUUGGCUAAUGUGUCUUGGCUAAGGUGUCUUGGCUAAUGUGUCUUGGCUAAGGUGUCUUGGCUAAUGUGUCUUGGCUAAGGUGUCUCGGCUAAUGUGUCUUGGCUAAUGUGUCUUGGCUAAGGUGUCUUGGCUAAUGUGUCUUGGCUAAUGUGUCUUGGCUAAGGUGUCUUGGCUAAUGUGUCUUGGCUAAGGUGUCUUGGCUAAGGUGUCUUGGCUAAGGUGUCUUGGCUAAUGUGUCUUGGCUAAUGUGUCUUGGCUAAGGUGUCUUGGCUAAGGUGUCUUGGCUAAGGUGUCUCGGCUAAUGUGUCUUGGCUAAUGUGUCUUGGCUAAGGUGUCUUGGCUAAGGUGUCUUGGCUCAUGUGUCUCGGCUAAUGUGUCUUGGCUAAUGUGUCUUGGCUAAUGUGUCUUGGCUAAUGUGUCUUGGCUAAUGUGUCUUGGCUAAUAUGUCUUGGCUAAUGUGUCUUGGCUAAUGUGUCUUGGCUAAGGUGUCUUGGCUAAGGUGUCUUGGCUAAUGUGUCUUGGCUAAUGUGUCUUGGCUAAUGUGUCUUGGCUAAUAUGUCUUGGCUAAUGUGUCUUGGCUAAUGUGUCUUGGCUAAGGUGUCUUGGCUAAGGUGUCUCGGCUAAUGUGUCUUGGCUAAUGUGUCUUGGCUAAUGUGUCUUGGCUAAUAUGUCUUGGCUAAUGUGUCUUGGCUAAUGUGUCUUGGCUAAGGUGUCUUGGCUAAUGUGUCUUGGCUAAGGUGUCUUGGCUAAGGUGUCUCGGCUAAUGUGUCUUGGCUAAUGUGUCGUGGCUAAGGUGUCUUGGCUAAUGUGUCUUGGCUAAUGUGUCUUGGCUAAUGUGUCUUGGCUAAUGUGUCUUGGCUAAGGUGUCUUGGCUAAGGUGUCUUGGCUAAGGUGUCUUGCCUAAGGUGUCUCGGCUAAUGUGUCUUGGCUAAUGUGUCUUGGCUAAUGUGUCUUGGCUAAGGUGUCUUGGCUAAGGUGUCUUGGCUAAUGUGUCUUGGCUAAUGUGUCUUGGCUAAUGUGUCUUGGCUAAUGUGUCUUGGCUAAUGUGUUUUGGCUUAUGUGUCUUGGCUAAUGUGUCUUGGCUAAUGUGUCUUGGCUAAUGUGUCUUGGCUAAUGUGUCUUGGCUAAGGUGUCUUGGCUAAUGUGUCUUGGCUAAGGUGUCUUGGCUAAGGUGUCUUGGCUUAGGUGUCUUGGCUAAUGCGUCUUGGCUAAGGUGUCUUGGCUAAUGUGUCUUGGCUAAUGUGUCUUGGCUAAUAUGUCUUGGCUAAUGUGUCUUGGCUAAGGUGUCUUGGCUAAUGUGUCUUGGCUAAUGUGUCUUGGCUAAUGUGUCUUGGCUAAUGUGUCUUGGCAAAGGUGUCUUGGCUAAGGUGUCUUGGCUAAGGUGUCUUGGCUAAGGUGUCUUGGCUAAGGUGUCUUGGCUAAUGUGUCUUGGCUAAGGUGUCUUGGCUAAGGUGUCUUGGCUAAUGCGUCUUGGCUAAUGUGUCUUGGCUAAGGUGUCUUGGCUAAUGUGUCUUGGCUAAUGUGUCUUGGCUAAUGUGUCUUGGCUAAUGUGUCUUGGCUAAUGUGUCUUGGCUAAUGUGUCUUGGCUAAUGUGUCUUGGCUAAUGUGUCUUGGCAAAGGUGUCUUGGCUAAGGUGUCUUGGCUAAGGUGUCUUGGCUAAGGUGUCUUGGCUAAUGUGUCUUGGCUAAUGUGUCUUGGCUAAGGUGUCUUGGCUAAUGUGUCUUGGCUAAUGUGUCUUGGCUAAUGUGUCUUGGCUAAUGUGUCUUGGCUAAUGUGUCUUGGCAAAGGUGUCUUGGCUAAGGUGUCUUGGCUAAGGUGUCUUGGCUAAGGUGUCUUGGCUAAUGUGUCUUGGCUAAUGUGUCUUGGCUAAGGUGUCUUGGCUAAGGUGUCUUGGCUAAUGCGUCUUGGCUAAUGUGUCUUGGCUAAGGUGUCUUGGCUAAUGUGUCUUGGCUAAUGUGUCUUGGCUAAUGUGUCUUGGCUAAUGUGUCUUGGCUAAUGUGUCUUGGCUAAUGUGUCUUGGCUAAUGUGUCUUGGCUAAGGUGUCUUGGCUAAUGUGUCUUGGCUAAGGUGUCUUGGCUAAUGUGUCUUGGCAAAGGUGUCUUGGCUAAGGUGUCUUGGCUAAGGUGUCUUGGCUAAGGUGUCUUGGCUAAUGUGUCUUGGCUAAUGUGUCUUGGCUAAGGUGUCUUGGCUAAUGCGUCUUGGCUAAUGUGUCUUGGCUAAGGUGUCUCGGCUAAUGUGUCUUGGGUAAUGUGUCUUGGCUAAUGUGUCUUGGCUAAUGUGUCUUGGCUAAGGUGUCUUGGCUAAUGUGUCUUGGCUAAGGUGUCUUGGCUAAUGUGUCUUGGCUAAGGUGUCUUGGCUAAGGUGUCUUGGCUAAGGUGUCUUGGCUAAGGUGUCUUGGCUAAUGUGUCUUUUCUAAGGUGUCUUGGCUAAUGUGUCUUGGCUAAACUGUCUUGGCUAAUGUGUCUUGGCUAAGGUGUCUUGGCUAAUGUGUCUUGGCUAAGGUGUCUUGGCUAAUGUGUCUUGGCAAAGGUGUCUUGGCUAAGGUGUCUUGGCUAAUGUGUCUUGGCUAAGGUGUCUUGGCUAAUGUGUCUUGGCUAAUGUGUCUUGGCUAAUGUGUCUUGGCUAAGGUGUCUUGGCUAAGGUGUCUUGGCUAAUGUGUCUUGGCUAAUGUGUUUUGGCUAAUGUGUCUUGGCUAAUGUGUCUUGGCUAAUGUGUCUUGGCUAAUGUGUCUUGGCUAAGGUGUCCUGGCUAAUGUGUCUUGGCUAAGGUGUCUUGGCUAAGGUGUCUUGGCUAAUGCGUCUUGGCUAAGGUGUCUUGGCUAAGGUGUCUUGGCUAAGGUGUCUUGGCUAAUGUGUCUUGGCUAAUGUGUCUUGGCUAAUGUGUCUUGGCUAAUGUGUCUUGGCUAAUGUGUCUUGGCUAAUGUGUCUUGGCAAAGGUGUCUUGGCUAAGGUGUCUUGGCUAAGGUGUCUUGGCUAAGGUGUCUUGGCUAAUGUGUCUUGGCUAAUGUGUCUUGGCUAAGGUGUCUUGGCUAAUGUGUCUUGGCUAAUGUGUCUUGGCUAAUGUGUCUUGGCUAAUGUGUCUUGGCUAAUGUGUCUUGGCUAAUGUGUCUUGGCAAAGGUGUCUUGGCUAAGGUGUCUUGGCUAAGGUGUCUUGGCUAAGGUGUCUUGGCUAAUGUGUCUUGGCUAAUGUGUCUUGGCUAAGGUGUCUUGGCUAAGGUGUCUUGGCUAAUGCGUCUUGGCUAAUGUGUCUUGGCUAAGGUGUCUUGGCUAAUGUGUCUUGGCUAAUGUGUCUUGGCUAAUGUGUCUUGGCUAAUGUGUCUUGGCUAAUGUGUCUUGGCUAAUGUGUCUUGGCUAAUGUGUCUUGGCUAAUGUGUCUUGGCUAAGGUGUCUUGGCUAAGGUGUCUUGGCUAAUGCGUCUUGGCUAAUGUGUCUUGGCUAAUGUGUCUUGGCUAAUGUGUCUUGGCUAAUGUGUCUUGGCUAAUGUGUCUUGGCUAAUGUGUCUUGGCUAAGGUGUCUUGGCUAAGGUGUCUUGGCUUAGGUGUCUCGGCUAAUGUGUCUUGGCUAAUGUGUCUUGGCUAAGGUGUCUUGGCUAAGAUGUCUUGGCUAAUGUGUCUUGGCUUAGGUGUCUUGGCUAAUGUGUCUUGGCUAAUGUGUCUUGGCUAAUGUGUCUUCGCUAAUGUGUCUUGGCUAAUGUGUCUUGGCUAAUGUGUCUUGGCUAAGGUGUCUUGGCUAAGGUGUCUUGGCUUAGGUGUCUCGGCUAAUGUGUCUUGGCUAAUGUGUCUUGGCUAAGGUGUCUUGGCUAAGAUGUCUUGGCUAAGGUGUCUUGGCUAAUGUGUCUUGGCUAAUGUGUCUUGGCUAAUGUGUCUUGGCUAAGGUGUCUUGGCUAAUGUGUCUUGGCUAAUGUGUCUUGGCUAAUGUGUCUUGGCUAAGGUGUCUUUGCUAAUGUGUCUUGGCUAAUGUGUCUUGGCUAAUGUGUCUUGGCUAAUGUGUCUUGGCUAAUGUGUCUUGGCUAAGGUGUCUUGGCUAAGGUGUCUCGGCUAAUGUGUCUUGGCUAAUGUGUCUUGGCUAAUGUGUCUUGGCUAAAGUGUCUCUGCUAAGGUGUCUUGGCUAAGGUGUCUUGGCUAAAGUGUCUUGGCUAAUGUGUCUUGGCUAAGGUGUCUUGGCUAAUGUGUCUUGGCUAAGGUGUCUUGGCUAAGGUGUCUUGGCUAAAGUGUCUUGGCUAAUGUGUCUUGGCUAAUGUGUCUUGGCUAAUGUGUCUUGGCUAAGGUGUCUUGGCUAAUGUGUCUUGGCUAAGGUGUCUUGGCUAAUGUGUCUUGGCUAAUGUGUCUCAGCUAAUGUGUCUUGGCUAAUGUGUCUUGGCUAAGGUGUCUUGGCUAAGGUGUCUUGGCUAAAGUGUCUUGGCUAAUGUGUCUUGGCUAAUGUGUCUUGGCUAAUGUGUCUUGGCUAAUGUGUCUUGGCUAAUGUGUCUUGGCUAAUGUGUCUUGGCUAAUGUGUCUAGGCUUUUGUGUCUUGGCUAAUGUGUGUUGGCUAAUAUGUCUUGGCUAAUGUGUCUUGGCUAAUGUGUCUUGGCUAAGGUGUCUUGGCUAAGGUGUCUCGGCUAAUGUGUCUUGGCUAAGGUGUCUUGGCUAAUGUGUCUUGGGUAAUGUGUCUUGGCUAAUGUGUCUUGGCUAAGGUGUCUUGGCUAAGGUGUCUUGGCUUAGGUGUCUUGGAUAAUGCGUCUUGGCUAAUGUGUCUUGGCUUAUGUGUCUUGGCUUAUGUGUCUUGGCUAAUGUGUCUUGGCUAAUGUGUCUUGGCUAAUGUGUCUUGGCUAAUGUGUCUUGGCUAAGGUGUCUCGGCUAAUGUGUCUUGGCUAAUGUGUCUUGGCUAAUGUGUCUUGGCUAAUUUGUCUUGGCUAAGGUGUCUUGGCUAAGGUGUCUUGGCUAAGGUGUCUUGGCUUAGGUGUCUUGGAUAAUGCGUCUUGGCUAAUGUGUCUUUGCUAAGGUGUCUUGGCUUAUGUGUCUUGGCUAAGGUGUCUUGGCUAAGGUGUCUUGGCUGAGGUGUCUUGGCUAAGGUGUCUUGGCUAAGGUGUCUUGGCUAAUGUGUCUUGGCUAAUGUGUCUUGGCUAAGGUGUCUUGGCUAAUGUGUCUUGGCUAAUGUGUCUCAGCUAAUGUGUCUUGGCUAAGGUGUCUUGGCUAAGGUGUCUUGGCUAAAGUGUCUUGGCUAAUGUGUCUUGGCUAAGGUGUCUUGGCUAAUGUGUCUUGGCUAAUGUGUCUUGGCUUAGGUGUCUCGGCUAAUGUGUCUUGGCUAAUGUGUCUUGGCUAAUAUGUCUUGGCUAAUGUGUCUUGGCUAAUGUGUCUUGGCUAUGGUGUCUUGGCUAAGGUGUCUUGGCUAAUGUGUCUCAGCUAAUGUGUCUUGGCUAAUGUGUCUUGUCUAAUGUGUCUUGGCUAAUGUGUCUUGGCUAAUGUGUCUUGGCUAAUGUGUCUUGGCUAAGGUGUCUUGGCUAAGGUGUCUUGGCUUAGGUGUCUUGGCUAAUGCGUCUUGGCUAAGGUGUCUUGGCUAAGGUGUCUUGGCUAAGGUGACUUGACUAAGGUGUCUUGGCUAAGGUGUUUUGGCUCAUGUGUCUUGGCUAAUGUGUCUUGGCUUAUGUGUCUUGGCUUAAGUGUCUUGGCUAAUGUGUCUUGGCUAAUGUGUCUUGGCUAAUGUGUCUUGGCUAAUGUGUCUUGGCUAAGGUGUCUUGGCUAAUGUGUCUUGGCUAAUGUGUCUUGGCUAAGGUGUCUUGGCUAAUGUGUCUUGGCUUAUGUGUCUUGGCCAAGGUGUCUUGGCUAAGGUGUCUUGGCUAAUGUGUCUUGGCUAAUGUGUCUUGGCUAAUGUGUCUUGGCUAAUGUGUCUUGGCUAAUGUGUCUUGGCUAAUGUGUCUUGGCUAAGGUGUCUUGGCUAAGGUGUCUUGGCUAAGGUGUCUUGGCUAAUGUGUCUUGGCUAAUGUGUCUUGGCUAAGGUGUCUUGGCUUAUGUGUCUUGGCUAAUGUGUCUUGGCUAAGGUGUCUCGGCUAAUGUGUCUUGGCUAAUGUGUCUUGGCUAAUGUGUCUUGGCUAAGGUGUCUUGGCUAAGGUGUCUUGGCUAAGGUGUCUUGGCUAAUGUGUCUUGGCUAAGGUGUCUCGGCUAAUGUGUCUUGGCUAAUGUGUCUUGGGUAAUGUGUCUCGGCUAAUGUGUCUUGGCUAAUGUGUCUUGGCUAAUGUGUCUUGGCUAAUGUGUCUUGGCUAAUGUGUCUUGGCUAAUGUGUCUUGGCUAAGGUGUCUUGGCUAAGGUGUCUUGGCUAAUGUGUCUUGGCUUAUGUGUCUUGUCUAAUGUGUCUUGGCUAAUGUGUCUUGGCUAAGGUGUCUUGGCUAAGGUGUCUUGGCUAAUGUGUCUUGGCUAAUGUGUCUCGGCUAAUGUGUCUUGGCUAAUGUGUCUUGGCUAAUGUGUCUUGGCUAAUGUGUCUUGGCUAAUGUGUCUUGGCUAAUGUGUCUCGGCUAAUGUGUCUUGGCUAAUGUGUCUUGGCUAAUGUGUCUUGGCUAAAGUGUCUUGGCUAAGGUGUCUUGGCUAAUGUGUCUUGGCUAAAGUGUCUUGGCUAAGGUGUCUUGGCUAAGGUGUCUUGGCUAAUGUGUCUUGGCUAAUGUGUCUUGGCUAAUGUGUCUUGGCUAAAGUGUCUUGGCUAAGGUGUCUUGGCUAAUGUGUCUUGGCUAAAGUGUCUUGGCUAAGGUGUCUUGGCUAAUGUGUCUUGGCUAAUGUGUCUUGGCUAAUGUGUCUUGGCUAAUGUGUCUUGGCUAAGGUGUCUUGGCUAAGGUGUCUUGGCUAAAGUGUCUCGGCUAAUGUGUCGGCUAAUGUGUCUUGGCUAAUGUGUCUUGGCUAAGGUGUCUUGGCUAAAGUGUCUCGGCUAAUGUGUCUCGGCUAAUGUGUCUUGGCUAAGGUGUCUUGGCUAAGGUGUCUUGGCUAAUGUGUCUUGGCUAAUGUGUCUUGGCUAAUGUGUCUCGGCUAAUGUGUAUUGGCUAAGGUGUCUUGGCUAAUGUGUCUUGGCUAAGGUGUCUUGGCUAAUGUGUCUUGGCUAAGGUGUCUUGGCUAAUGUGUCUUGGCUAAUAUGUCUUGGCUAAUGUGUCUUGUCUAAUGUGUCUUGGCUAAUGUGUCUUGGCUAAUGUGUCUUGGCUGAUGUGUCUUGGCUAAUGUGUCUUGGCUAAUGUGUCUUGGCUAAGGUGUCUUUGCUAAUGUGUCUUGGCUAAUGUGUCUCGGCUAAUGUGUCUUGGCUAAUGUGUCUUGGCUAAUGUGUCUUGGCUAAUGUGUCUUGGCUAAGGUGUCUUGGCUAGUGUGUCUUGGCUAGUGUGUCUUGGCUAAUGUGUCUUGGCUAAGGUGUUUUGGCUAAUGUGUCUUGGCUAAUGUGUUUCGGCUAAUGUGUCUUGUCUAAUGUGUCUUGGCUAAGAUGUCUUGGCUAAUGUGUCUUGGCUAAUGUGUCUCGCCUAAUGUGUCUUGGCUAAUGUGUCUUGACUAAUGUGUCUUGGCUAAGGUGUCUUGGCUAAGGUGUCUUGGCUAAGGUGUCUUGGGUAAUGUGUCUUGGCUAAGGUGUCUUGGCCAAUGUGUCUUGGCUAAGGUGUCUUGGCUAAUGUGUCUUGGCUAAUGUGUCUUGGCUAAGGUGUUUUGGCUAAGGUGUCUUGGCUAAGGUGUCUUGGCUAAGGUGUCUUGGCUAAUGUGUCUCGGCUAAUGUGUCUUGGCUAAUGUGUCCUGGCUAAGGUGUCUUGGCUAAGGUGUCUUGGCUAAGGUGUCUUGGCUAAUGUGUCUUGGCUAAUGUGUCUUGGCUAAGGUGUCUUGGCUAAUGUGUCUUGGCUAAUGUGUCUUGACUAAUGUGUCUUGGCUAAUGUGUCUUGGCUAAGGUGUUUUGGCUAAGGUGUCUUGGCUAAUGUGUCUUGGCUAAGGUGUCUUGGCUAAGGUGUCUUGGCUAAGGUGUCUUGGCUAAGAUGUCUUGGCUAAUGUGUCUUGGCUAAUGUGUCUCGCCUAAUGUGUCUUGGCUAAUGUGUCUU